rnacentral:rRNA from 1 species
UACGGAGGGUGCAAGCGUUAUCCGGAUUUACUGGGUUUAAAGGGUGCGUAGGCGGGUUGUUAAGUCAGUGGUGAAAGAUUCGAGCUCAACUCGAGAACUGCCAUUGAUACUGAUGACCUUGAAUACAGUUGAGGUGGGCGGAAUGUGUCAUGUAGCGGUGAAAUGCUUAGAUAUGACACAGAACACCGAUUGCGAAGGCAGCUUGCUAAACUGUGAUUGACGCUGAGGCACGAAAGCGUGGGGAGCGAACAGG